rnacentral:antisense_RNA from 1 species
UUCAAUGGUGGCGUUGUUAGGGCAAUCUUCGGAUUGGCUGGUCUCCUUGUACGCCAGUACUGCGAACCCUGAUAACGUCACCGCCCAU